rnacentral:rRNA from 1 species
GAUGAACGCUGGCGGCGUGCCUAAUACAUGCAAGUCGAGCGAACGGACGAGAAGCUUGCUUCUCUGAUGUUAGCGGCGGACGGGUGAGUAACACGUGGAUAACCUACCUAUAAGACUGGGAUAACUUCGGGAAACCGUAGCUAAUACCGGAUAAUAUUUUGAACCGCAUGGUUCAAAAGUGAAAGACGGUCUUGCUGUCACUUAUAGAUGGAUCCGCGCUGCAUUAGCUAGUUGGUAAGGUAACGGCUUACCAAGGCAACGAUGCAUAGCCGACCUGAGAGGGUGAUCGGCCAAACUGGAAGUGAGACACGGUCCAGACGCCUACGGGAGGAAGAAGUAGGGAAUCUUCCGAAAUGGGCGAAAGCAUGACGGAGCAACGCCGCGUGAGUGAUGAAGGUCUUCGGAUCGUAAAACUCUGUUAUUAGGGAAGAAAAUAUGUGUAAGUAACUGUGCACAUCUUGACGGUACCUAAUCAGAAAGCCACGGCUAACUACGUG